CUAGUGCUGGUUCCUCAAAGGCUUCAAAGGAUGCAUCAUUAACUCCUCUAAGAACACCGACUAUGGCUUAUAAGAAGGAGAUGCAGAUGCAUUCUGCAUUGACCCCAUUAACAGAAAAGAAAAGGUAUCUAAUUCUAGUAAGUUGUUAAUUAUGAUGUAAAACUGUUUUUAUAUCCUGAUUAGGUGCAUUUGAGUUUUGUUAAACCAUAGGAACAAAACUCCUCUUGAUUUAUCAAGCACAGGCAAAAAUACAGCCAGCUCUAAAUGGCGCUUGCUCUCAACAGAAAAUAAAAUGAGAUCCCCAAUGAUAUCCUCACCUUUCAGCUUGAGGACAGAAGAAAGGGCUGCAAGAAGAAA